GCCAUCUCUAGGAGUCGAGGCCAGCAUGUUUUGCAUAGUGAAUUCCAGCCAAUCAGAACUCAGAGAGAGAGAGACCAUGGCUCCGAAAUAAAAUAAAAUAAAGGGAAGAAAAGGAGUUCAAACUUAAGUCAGCACAACAUGAGGAGCUGUGUCGAAGGGUCUCAGCAUUCGGAAGGUUGAGAGCCACUGUUUGGACCUUCAUUAUCCUUACAGAAACAGUCACCGUGAAGGGUUGGGGACUCAGUCUCCUUGUUGGUUUUUGGGGACUCUUUGAUCUGAGCAUAACAUCUGGAGGCUUGUCCAGGACCCCUCAAGCCCACCGGUACCACCACCCUGUAGAAUCUUCAGCUAGCUGACAGAGACUCCCAAAUCCUAGCAGUGAACCAAGUUCUGCAGAAGAGAUUAUGGGACACCAUGAGGUCUCCACCUGGAUGAUGACAAUGCUGACCGCUGGGUGAGAUGUCCCAGUGCAACCCCGGCUGCCGGGACCCGGUCCAGACUGUGGACAAGUAACAAGACACUGGAGAACUGACUGCACCACUUUUGCCUAGACAAAAUAAGGGAAGAACACAAAUGGGUACCCCACCAUCACAAACUAUGCAAUCGAGUUUCCCAUAUUUGGGGAAAUAGCAGGGUCAGGAUGCAGAGUGCCCUGGAUAAGCCUCGCCCUGGGAAAACCACCUUCGUGAUCAUGGUAUCUCCCCUGCCAGCACCAAUCUACUUCAUGAAGAUGAUGGACAUCGAAGAGUCUCCUUAUCCUCUUGAUGACUUUGAUAGCCAUUUGGGCAAGAAACUGCUCUUGCCUGGACUGCUUGGUGCUAUGCGAUAUGAACUGGACAAGCAGGACCCUCAGAGAAAUGACUGCUGAACUUGCCUAACGGUGAGA